rfam:Asian citrus Psyllid, Diaphorina citri - Florida Strain, whole genome shotgun sequence.
GCCUAGUUAGCUUAGUUGGUAGUGCGUCUGCCUUGUAAGCGCUAGGUUGCGGGUUCGAUUCCCACCCGCGGCG